CCCUAUGGGGUGCAGCAGGCGACAAAUGUCAGAAAGCUGUAGUCCUGGCGUUGUCCAAGACAUAGAAAGUCAAUGAAGCCGGAGCGAUCAAACGCUCCGGCUUUUUUUAUGAAAACGGAACCGUAUUUUCUUCCCGUGAGCGGAUUUAGGAAAAUGAUAUCCAAUAAAGAUAGAAACAAUAAAGGCAGGACAAAGAGCGGGGAAGAAGCGCAUGCGCCGCAAAAAGGUGAACCAAGCGCACGCGAGUUGCGAAGGAAAAGCACGCCAAAGAAAGUCAAGCGGCUGAAGAUGAAGAAGAUAGGCGGCGGGGAGGGACAUGGAGGAGUUUCUGUGCCGGAGGCAAACCUUGCGUCAGGCCCGAAACCGUCCGUUGCUCCUGAGAGGGUCUAACCGGUUCGAGCGCGAAGAUGCGGGAGAGC
rnacentral:rRNA from 1 species